UAAAUCAGGANUAGUAUGAAUGGCACCACGAAGRUCAUACUGUCUCCUUUUUCUAUUCAGUGAAACUAAUCUCCCCGUGAAGAAGCGGGGAUAAAAAUAUAAGACGAGAAGACCCUAUGGAGCUUCAAACAACAUAGCAUAUAAAAAUUUUCAACUCCAAGAUAUUAUGACUAUAAGUUUUUGGUUGGGGUGACCACGGAGCAUAACAUAACCUCCUUGUUGAAAGAAUCUKAACUKCCGAACUACACUUCUAAGGAUUAAUACCCCAACAYCAAUUGACCCAAUAUAUUUGAUCAACGAACCAAGUUACCCUAGGGAUAACAGCGCAAUCCACUUCAAGAGCUCCUAUCGACAAGUGGGUUUACGACCUCGAUGUUGGAUCAGUUUAUCCU
rnacentral:rRNA from 1 species